AUGUUGCUCUCCAGCCUUCUGAAGAUGGUCGUGGCUUCAAUGUGGCUAGGAUCCAGCAUUUGCCAGAAGGUAACUCAAUCCCAACCAGCAAUGUCAGUGCAGGAGAUGGAGGCUGUGACCCUGAACUGCACCUAUGACACCAGUUCUGGCACUUACAGUCUAUUCUGGUACAAGCAGCCCAGCAGUGGAGCAAUGAUUUUCCUUAUUCGUCAGGACUCUUACCAGCAAAAUGCCACAGAAGGUCGCUAUUCAUUGAAUUUCCAGAAGGCAAAAAAAUCCAUCAACCUUGUCAUCUCAGCUCCACAGCUGGAGGACUCUGCAGUGUAUUUCUGUGCACUGAGUGAGCCCACAGUGAGAGAUGUGUUAGAGGGAGGUGUGCAGAAACCCCAGGGCUCUGCUUGA